ensembl:snRNA U6 U6 spliceosomal RNA
AUGUUCACUUUGGAAGCAGAUAUGUUAACAUCGGAGUGAUACGGAGAUUAACGUGGCCCCUGUCCAAGGAUGACAUGCAAAUCUCUGAAGCGUUCCAUUAAAAA